AUGGGUUUGGAGGAGAGGGAGAGGGAGAGGGGGGUCCGGUGGAGAAACCAGGAGGUGGAGAGGGGUAGAGACCAGGAGGUGGAGAGGAGGAGAGACCAGGAGGUGGAGAGGAGGAGAGACCAGGAGGUGGAGAGGAGGAGAGACCAGGAGGUGGAGAGGGGGAGAGACCAGGAGGUGGAGAGGAGGAGAGACCAGGAGGUGGAGAGGAGGAGAGACCAGGAGGUAGAGAGGGGGGUCCGGUGGAAAGACCAGGAGGUGGAGAGGAGGAGAGACCAGGAGGUGGAGAGGAGGAGAGACCAGGAGGUGGAGAGGAGGAGAGACCAGGAGUUGGAGAGGAGAGACCAGGAGGUGGUCCAGAGGGGGAGAGACCAGGAGGUGGAGAGGAGGAGAGACCAGGAGGUGGAGAGGAGGAGAGACCAGGAGGUGGAGCGGAGGAGAGACCAGGAGGUGGAGAGGAGGAGAGACCAGGAGGUGGAGAGGAGGAGAGACCAGGAGGUGGUCCAGAGGUGGAGAGACCAGGAGGUGGAGAGGAGGAGAGACCAGGAGGUGGAGAGGAAGAGAGACCAGGAGGUGGAGAGGAGAGACCAGGAGGUGGUCCAGAGGAGGAGAGACCAGGAGGUGGUCCAGAGGAGGAGAGACCAGGAGGUGGAGAGGAAGAGAGACCAGGAGGUGGAGAGGAGGAGAGACCAGGAGGUGGAGAGGAGGAGAGACCAGGAGGUGGAGAGGAGGAGAGACCAGGAGGUGGAGAGGAGGAGAGACCAGGAGGUGGAGAGGAGGAGAGACCAGGAGGUGGAGCGGAGGAGAGACCAGGAGGUGGAGAGGAGGAGAGACCAGGAGGUGGAGCGGGUGGAGCGGAGGAACAGAGACCUGGUCCUGCUGACCCUGGGGGCGCUGAGGAGCCGGGGAAGACCCCCGGCCACCCAGGAGACCCGGAGAGAGGCCUGGCAGUCGUACCUGGACAUCAUCUACCACAUGGACCAGGGGGCGGACAUGUUGGACCUGAGGGAUCUUCUCUGUUCCCCAGAACCUCCUCAUGACCCCCCUCCCCCCCUCCCUCUGCCGAUCCCUCACCCCCUCCCUCUGCCGAUCCCUCACCCCCUCGCAGCCCUACCUCCCCCCCUCCCUCUGCCGCUCCCUCCCCCCCUUCCUCCCCUCCCUCCCCUGAGAGCCAAACCUACAGCCCAGGUGUUGGCACCGCGCCCUGUGCUGGGAUGGCAACCGAAGCCGGGGCCGGCGGAGAGGCCUGACGUGGUUGCCCGCGGUAACCCUGUCGCUAGGCAACCCUCCCCCCUCACUGAGGAUCAGUGCGCGCAGGAGGGACAGAGAGUUCAACGUGAUGUCACACAUCAUCAUCAUCAUCAUCAUCAUCAUGAUGAUGAUGUCAUCAGCCAUACUGAGGAAGAGGAGCUCCCUCUUCGGGAUGAUGAAGAUGAGGAAGAGAGAAUCAGGGAGGAGGCUCCCUGCCCAUCACCUCCUCCACCUCCUCCACCUCCUCCACCUCCUCCUCCUCCUCCUCCACCUCCUCCACCUCCUCCACCUCCUCCACCUCCUCCCGUCAUGAGGAGAACCGACCCCCACCAGGUCCAUCACAUACCCUGUCACCUUUCACGUGACUCACAUGACAUCAUGACACGCGUGUUAUGA
ensembl:lncRNA